GAGGAUAUAGCUCAGUGGUACAGUGCAUGCUUAGUAUGCAUGAGGUCCUGGGUUCAAUCCCCAGUACCUCU
rnacentral:tRNA from 1 species